rnacentral:rRNA from 1 species
GACGAACGCUGGCGGCGUGCUUAACACAUGCAAGUCGAACGAAGAGCGAUGGAAGCUUGCUUCUAUCAAUCUUAGUGGCGAACGGGUGAGUAACGCGUAAUCAACCUGCCCUUCAGAGGGGGACAACAGUUGGAAACGACUGCUAAUACCGCAUACGAUCUAAUCUCGGCAUCGAGGAUAGAUGAAAGGUGGCCUCUACAUGUAAGCUAUCACUGAAGGAGUGGAUUGCGUCUGAUUAGCUAGUUGGAGGGGUAACGGCCCACCAAGGCGAUGAUCAGUAGCCGGUCUGAGAGGAUGAACGGCCACAUUGGGACUGAGACACGGCCCAGACUCCUACGGGGGCAGCAGUGGGGAAUCUUCCGCAAUGGACGAAAGUCUGACGGAGCAACGCCGCGUGAGUGAUGACGGCCUUCGGGUUGUAAAGCUCUGUUAAUCGGGACGAAAGGCCUUCUUGCGAAUAGUGAGAAGGAUUGACGGUACCGGAAUAGAAAGCCACGGCUAACUACGUG